AAAUAAAAUGAAUUUACACAGCAUAGGACACAGCGUCUUCUCGACAUGUUGAGAUGUUAACCACACGAACAAGCUAUAGUGUUCGCAGCUGACCAAUGUAGAACAUAGGCGGGCAUUAUGCAAAUGUGUUACGUGACGUGUAGCCGUUACGGAAGUGGGAUUCAAAUUUUGACGACGACUCGUUUAGACUGUUCUGAGCUGUUUCUUUCUUUUGGGAGACAAUAACUUUAUUUAUCAUGCACUUUCAGCUUUACAACUUUGCAGAUCGGUUACAUUCACUACAUUGCACACUGCAUAAAAUGCAAUAUUCGAAAUGGCAUAAUAGGGGCACUUUAAGUUCCUAUGACAUUUAUAUGCCUGUUGUUGUAAAUAUAUCACAAUGUUAACUGUUGUCUGCUAGCGUGUGUCAGUUUCUGGCCAGAUGUCAGAGUCCGACAGGUGGGUUCGUUGGAGGUCCGUGUCAACACGCUCACCUGGCUCCCACCUACGCAGCUGUAAACGCCCUGUGCAUCCUGGGUACAGAGGAGGCCUACAAAGUCAUCAACAGAGAGAAGCUUCUGGAUUUCCUGUACUCUGUGAAGCAGCCAGAUGGCUCCUUUGUGAUGCAUGUGGGCGGGGAGGUGGAUGUCAGGAGUGCAUAUUGUGCAGCUUCUGUGGCUUCACUCACCAAUAUAAUCACCCCCACCCUGUUUGAUGGGACGCACAAUUGGAUUCUUAGAAUUCUCCUGGGACGA